rnacentral:rRNA from 1 species
UUUGCCAAGAUCUGUCCGCAGAUCACGGGACUAUAGGGAGACCGCUGGCGCGAAGUCAGANGGAAGGCGAGGGCAACGGUAGGUCAGUAUGCUCCGAAUGCUAUGGGCUACACGCGCAAUACAAAGGACGGGACAAUGGGCUGCAACUCCGAGAGGAAUGACGCUAUCCCGAAACCCGUUCGUAGUUCGGAUUGAGGGCUGUAACUCGCCCUCAUGAAGCUGGAUUAGGUAGUAAUCGCGUCUCAAAAAGGCGCGGUGAAUAUGCCCCUGCUCCUUGCACACACCGCCCGUCAAACCAUCUUAGUUGUGGGUGGGUGAGGCUGCCUCUCUUUCGAGAUGUGGUAUUCGAGCCUGCCUUCGACAAGGAGGGUUAAGUCGUAACAAGGUAACC